rnacentral:rRNA from 1 species
UACGUAGGAUGCAAGCGUUGUCCGGAAUUAUUGGGCGUAAAGAGUUCGUAGGCGGUUGCCUAAGUCUGGUGUUAAAUACAGGAGCUCAACUCCUGCAUGGCACUGGAAACUGGGCAGCUAGAGUGUGGUAGAGGUCACGGGAAUUCCAGGUGUAGCGGUGAAAUGCGUAGAUAUCUGGAGGAACACCAGUGGCGAAAGCGAGUGACUGGGCCACAACUGACGCUGAGGAACGAAAGCCAGGGGAGCGAAAGGG